rnacentral:rRNA from 1 species
UGAGUAACACGUAUCCAACCUGCCGUCUACUCUUGGACAGCCUUCUGAAAGGAAGAUUAAUACAAGAUGGCAUCAUGAGUCCGCAUGUUCACAUGAUUAAAGGUAUUCCGGUAGACGAUGGGGAUGCGUUCCAUUAGAUAGUAGGCGGGGUAACGGCCCACCUAGUCUUCGAUGGAUAGGGGUUCUGAGAGGAAGGUCCCCCACAUUGGAACUGAGACACGGUCCAAACUCCUACGGGAGGCAGCAG